rnacentral:miRNA from 1 species
UCACUGGGAAGACAUUAUCGU